GUGCUUGAGGCCUUCAACAUAUAAGACAUCUCUUAUAGUCAAUGUGUUUCCUCCUCCAAUGUCCCCGGUUCCCAUGAUUCUACCUUUGUUGUUAUCUCCAUAUGUUACAAAUCCUUGCUUUUUCUUCUCAAAAGAGAUAAACCUUUUCUUGUUACCGGUCAUGUGUCUUGAACAACCACUGUCAAGAUACCACAAUGACUUCUUUGACUUAGUAGGUUCCUACAAAACAAAUUAACAAGAAUUAUAGGUCCUCAAUCUAAUUAUGGGUCC
rnacentral:lncRNA from 1 species